GACAGAGGGUGCAAACGUUGUUCGGAAUUACUGGGCGUAAAGCGCGUGUAGGCGGCAAUAUAAGUCGGAUGUGAAAUCCCGCGGCUCAACCGUGGAAGUGCACCCGAAACUGUAUCGCUAGAGUCCCGGAGAGGAUGGUGGAAUACUUGGUGUAGAGGUGAAAUUCGUAGAUAUUCGCAAGAACACCAGUGGCGAAGGCGGCUCACUGGCCCGAUACUGACGCUGAGGCACGAAAGCGUGGGGAGCAAACAGG
rnacentral:rRNA from 1 species